CCCGCUUUCACGUACGCCGCCCUGCCGCCGGCCCCCGCGCACUGUCGCCACCAGCAGACACGCGCGUCCUGCUCCUGUUUACCGAGAGGGAGCGUGAGCACCUCCACUGUGGUCGCCAAGUUGGGCUGGAGACUCCGGUCUGUUGGCCAGGAUGGAGUGCCAUGGCACAAUCUCAGCUCACUGCAACCUCCACCUCGAAGACUCAAGCGAUUCUCCAGCCUCGGCCUCUGGAGUAACUGGUACUACAGACUCAGUCUGCCCUAGCCCAUCCUUUAUGAAGUUCCUGCUCCUGGACAGAGUCCCAGGCUACCUCUUAAUCUCAGCAGAGGGGCAAGAUAGUCCCCACUGUGGAAUUACCAAAUCUCAUUGGAAAGGGUUCUUCACUGCCUGGAGAUUCUGAUCAGCCAAGAACUGAUUGAAGCAAGAUCACCAAUGCUGCCUCCCCAAACUCAGAAUGAAAAAGCAGUAAUUACAACACAACAAGACCUCUCCCUACUCUGUCCAGCUCUAGGUGUAUGGGUGUGUGGCAGCACUGGAGCAAAUAACAUGCCGAGAGAGUUCUGGGGGAGAGGCACACUGUUCCCUCUUGUAAUAAACUUGAAGCCGAGAGGAUAAAAGUUCUGAAUGAGGAUCCAAGUUUAUGAACUUGGGAGUAGAGCCCAGAGAAACACAACCCAGAGGUGGAGAAAGAGCAAAAUGAUACCCUGGAGAUCUUCUUUGACGCCCUGCAUGAAGUCACAUGAGAGAUUUCCCUUACCCCAAAUUUCUGUGAGUUUAAGCUAAUUUGACUUAAAUGUUUUGUCAAAGAUCCGUACAUUCUUUUUUUUCCCUCCUGGGUGUAUUUAGGGGAAAAAAUGGAUGGAAAACCAUCCAGUCAAAGACUGGCGCAUGGAAAAGCUGAGAUAAAUUAGGCCCAGAUAAGGUAAGGAGGAUGUCAGGGGUACUCACUAAUAAUGGAUUUGUUAAACCAAUAGUUGCACAAAACUGCUCAUGUUAAACCUAAGCAAGAUAAAAGAAAUGCCCUUGGAUCUACACAGACAAAACAGAAGAAAAUAAAGGGCAAACACACCUCAGGCUGGACAAACACUGAAGCAGUUUCCUCUGCGUGUAUUGUGCUAUGUAAGAACUUACUUAUAAUAAGAAAGAGUCCAUCACACAAGAGACUCAUAAUGAGUUAUAAAACAACAGAGAUGAGACAAAAGAAAACUUCAAGGAAAACAAAUUGGGACUCCAAGCCGUAAGAUUUAAUACAUAAGUUAGAAAAAGCUUUAGCUAAAAAUGAAUUAUCAUUAUGAAAGAGAGUCACAGUGAAUAGACAGCAAACAUAGAAGGGGAAUAAAGGAAUAGAAGAGGGUGGAUAGUGGAUACGAAGGUCAAACCCAACACAAGAAGAACUGGUGUGUCUGCAGGUAAAAUUUCAACAAGGUGGAACACACAAUAUAGAAAUAUGACGCAGAAAAAUGUUUCUGUAAUAAAUGGAAUAUGCAGAUUGAAAAGAGAAAGUACCUGAAAGGAGAAUAAAAUGAGCCAGAACAAUCUAAAUAAAAUUUAGGUGGGUUUGGCUGCGCUUCACAGACUCUUAGAACCGUGCUAUCAGCGUAACUCGGUCACGUACAGAGAGAAAAAACAUGGCUGGCCUCAGACUCUUCAAGAGCAAUGUUUAGUGCAGAAAGACAGUAAAGAGGUAGGUACAAAAUUCUAAGGGAAGGAAAAUGUGGCAGUCAUGCGGUCAUUCCACGAAGGCUGACUACCUCCUUGGACUGUGAUAGAAGAAGAAGGGCCAGAAUGGCCUAUAGUCUCAUAAAAUUAAUAAGACAAAAUCACAUAGAAAGGAACGGUUUCUAUAAUAGACAUUGGACACCAGGCAGCACAGGGCCAUGAUUCCUAAGAUAAAAGUAACAAAUGAAGUAAGAUUGACAGUUGCCCCAGGAGGUUUUCAAGGAGGAAAUUCCCAUGCUGUGGUGCAGAAGGGGAAACCAAAGAAGUCAAUGGUCUUCUGGAGUUGGAUAGAAAGAAACCAAGGUUUGAGGAGGCCAUGGUGCUAAGAUUGGCGGUGAGUGCUGGAGAGGAGACGGCUGCAGAGGGAAGCUGUAGAAAUCUAGAAAGAUACCUGGAAUCUUUGGCUGAGUGCUGAGGUAUACACCUCAGAGGCAGCUAUGGAGACCGGGAAGGGAGCCAUGGCAAAGCAGAGAGACAAACAAUUCCUGGAGCUUACACAGGACUGGGCAGAAACACUUCGUAAUAGGGAGUCCAGAAAGAGGCUCACACAGACAUGGUCAUCUGAUUUUCAAAGAACACAACAAGGCAGAUCAUCGGGGAAGGGAUAAUCUGUUCAAGAAAUCAAGCUGGGACAAUAGCCUAGCCACAUGUGUCAAAAUGAAUCUCAGCCCUGACCUCAUAUCAGAUACAAAAAUGGGCUCAAAAUAGACCAUCAUCUUAAAUCUAAGACCUAAAAGCAUAAAAUUUCUAGAACAACACAUAAGAAAAGAAAUCAUGUUUUUGGGUUAGACAAAAAUUUCUUAAAUAUAACACUUAAACCACAUUCCAUGAAAUGAAAAAGUUGGUAAGUUAGACUUUACCAAAUGUUACAAAUUUUGCUCUUCAAUGAUUCUGGUAAGGAAAUGAAAAACAACCCAGAUACUAAGAUAGAAUGGCUGCAAGACAUAUAACUGAUAAAUGUAUGAUAUAUGUAAACGUGUGUCUAAUAAAUAUUGUAUCUUGAGUAUAAAAUAUGAAGAAUUCUUACAACUCAAUAAAAAGAAGACAAAUCCAUAAGAAAAUGGACAGAAGAUAUAAACAGAAGCUUUACCAAAGAAAGUACAGGAAUGGCAAACAAACACAUAAAAAGAUGUUCAACAUCAUUAAUAUUAGCAAAAUGCAAAUAAAAAGCACAGUGAGAUAUCAGUAAACACUCAUUAUAAUGCCAAAUUUUGAAGGAUGCAUAAUUGCAAGUGUUGGUGAGGACAUGGAGCAAUUGAAGCUAUCAUACAUUGCUAUGGGAAUGCACAGUGAAACAGCCACUGGAUAAAUCAGUCUGUUAUUUUCUUAUAAAGUUAAAUGUAAACUUACUGUGUUCCAGUAAUAUCUCUCUUAUUUAUUCAUGCAAUAUAAAGAAAUCAAAUAUCCACACAUAGACUUGUGCUCAAAUGCAUAACAGCUUUAUUCAUAACAAAUAUAUAAGUUGAGUCUAUGAAAACGUCCAUCAACUGCUAAGUGGAUAAACAAAUGUGUGUAUUUAUAUCCAGAUGAAUUUUAAGAAUAAAGUCGGAUACAAAGAACUACUUACUAUAAUAUACCAUUUUAAUGAAAUUCUAGAAAAGUCAAAACUAUAGUCACAGAAAAGCAGAUCAUAGAAUUGUAACUUAAAGCAAUAUUACAUAUAAAAUGGCAAACAUUUUCCAGUACUAUAGAAUAAAAGGCUUUCUCAAACAUUUAUGGUGGGAGUAUGAAUUGGAAGCCAGUAUGAGGCCAUUUUGCAUUUAAUAUCAUAAAUCUAAAAAUGUCUCUCUCAGCCAGCAAUUCUCCUGAGAUUUAUUUUAAGGAUGUAGUUAAAUAUCUGUAUUCAAGCGAAUUUUUAUUAGAAAAAAUUUAAUAAUAUCCAAAAUGGCAAAAAUAAAACAUUGUUAAAUAAAUUAUGGUAAAUCCAUUAGGUGGAAUAACAUAGAGUGACAUAAAAUGUUGUAAAAAUUUAUAAACAUUGAUUAUAUAUUGACUACAAAUUAAAAUCUCAAUAAAACCCUAUGAGUAGAUAUUUUAAGAUCAUACUCUUUGAUUAAAAUUAUAGAAAACUAGAAACAAAUAGCAAAAAUAGAAAUAAUGCCAUCAUACAAUUAUCUUACAAGCUUUGUCCUCAACAAACAAGAAAUAAAAAAUGAAAUUUCAAGAUAUUAAAUGCCAAGUUAUAUGUGUAAAAACCUAUGGAACCUCGCCAAAGGCAUAUAUAUUGAAGAAAAAUAUUCAUGGUUUAAAAUAUUUUAUUAAUGCAAAAACAAAAUAAUUAAGGAAAUAAAAUAUUCAUUUUAGAAAAUUAGAAGAGGAAAAACAAAAUGAAAGAAAUGGAAUAGCAGCAAAGAUAAAAUUUAAUAUUAGAAAAAAACAGGAAAUGAAACAGAUAUGCAGUAAGGAGCAGAGAAGACAAUAGAAAUUCCAGUUCUACGCUUUUACACUGUUGGUGGGAGUGUAACUUAGUUCAGCUUUUGUGAAAGACAGUGUGGUGAUUCCUCAAGGAUCUAGAACCAGAAAUACCAUUUGACCCAGCAAUCCCAUUACUGGGUAUAUACCCAAAGGAUUAUACAUCAUUCUAUUAUAAAGACACAUGUACACGUAUGUUUAUUGUGACACUGUUCACAAUAGCAAAUACUUGGAACCAAUCCAAAUGCCCAUCAAUGAUAGAUUGGAUAAAGAAAACGUGGCACAUACACACCAUGAGUUGCUAUGCAGCCAUAAAAAGAUGAGUUCAUGUCCUUUGCAAGGACAUGGAUGAAGCUGGAAAGUAUCAUUCUCAGCAAACUGACACAAGAACAGAAAACCCAACACCGCAUGUUCUCACUCAUAAGUGGGUGCUGAACAAUGAGAAUACAUGGACACAGGGAGGAGAGCAUCACACACCGGAGCCUGUUGUGGGUGGGGGGCUAGGGGAGGAAUAGCAGGGGGUGGGGGGAUGGGGAGGGAUAGCAUUAGGAGAAAUACCUAAUGUAGAUGACGGGGUGAUGGAUGCAGCAAACCACCGUGGCACGUGUAUACCUGUGUAACAAACCUGCACGUUCUGCACAUGUACCCCAGAACUUAAAGUAUUAUAAUAAUUUUUAAAAAUGAGAUGUAAGAAAGGAAAAAAAGGAAAUUCUAGUUCUAGUAAUUUCCUGCGUUCUCAGUGUCACCUCAUCUUGGGUAAUGCAAAAUAAUCCUGUAACUUUAUAAAAAAUAUCACUUUUCUGUUUUACAGAAACUAGAGUUGGUUUUUAUAUGUAAAUAGCCUUAAUAACUUCAGAGCUGGGAAACUAAAUCCAGAAAGUAUAAAGUGUAAGACUGAAAUAUUUGGUUACAGGGACAUUUUUAACUUGAGCCAGCAAAAUAUCUACAUGUAUGUUUAAAAUGUAUAAAUAUGAUUGAAAUGCAAAUAAUAAAAUGAAUAUGUGUAUUCAAUAAAUAUAUUUCAAUAUACAUAUAUACACCUCCACAAGAUACACAGAACUGACAAAGGUUUAAUAUCUUUACUGUACAAAGAAUCAUAAAUAAAAAACCUCUCUGUAUAAUAAAUGAGCCAACAUCAUAAAUAGAAAACUGCAUCAAUAAAAAUACACAUGGGUAAUAAGCUUAUUAGAAUAUACAAACCCUAACUGACAUGUGAGUAUCUAAUGCCAACAAGCUAUUUCUUGUCUGCCAGCUUGUGAAAAUUAAAAAUGCUAACAAUACUAUGCUGUGGGGAAGCUGUGGAAAUUGGGGACUGUAAUGCAAAAUGCUGUUGGUAGGAAUUUAAAUUGGGGCAAACUUUCUGCCGGUAUGCACAUAGUUUGGGUUGACUCAACAAUUCUUCUCAGAAAUUUAUCUCAAGGAAACACAGAAAAUUAACAAGGUUGAACGUAAAAGGAGUAUCACCACAUCAUGGGUACAGCAUUGAAAAACUGGAAAGAACCUCAAUGUCCACCAAAAAGGGUUUGUACAAAUCAAUUGUGGUUCUUUGUACAAUGGCAAAUAUGAUCUAUUGACAUGAAAGGAUUGCCAUGGCAAGUUGUUAAAAUUUUUAUGAAGCAGAUUAUAAAACAGAAAAUAGAUAACGUGUGCAAGGUGCUAUGAUUUGGAUGUCUGUUUUCUCUGAAACUCAUAUUGGUGAGUUUCAGUGUUGCAGUAUGGAAAGUCACAACUUUUAUGAAUCAAUGAGGUUAUGAGGGCCCUGCCCUCAUGAACAUAUUAAUUCAUUCAUGAACUAACAGAUUAAUGGAUCAAUGGGUGUUCUGCGGAGUGGGACUGGUCGCUUUAUAGGAAGAGGAAGAGAAACCUGAGCUAGCCCUGUCAGCCCACUUGCCAUCUGGCCACCAUGAUGCCCUGUGCCACCUCUGCACUCUACAGAGAGUUCUCACUAGCAUGAAGCCCUCACCAGAUGCAGCCCCUUGACCUUGGACUCCUCAACCUUUAGAACUGUAAGAAAUAAAUUUCUGUUCUUUAUAAAUCACCCAGCCUCAGGUAUUCAGGUAUUCAGUUAUAGCAGCAGGAAAUUGGCUAAGAAAUAAAGCUAUCGAUAUGAAAGUCUUUGCCCAACUAUGAACAGAAUUACUUCUUCUAGGAUAAAUUAUUUAUUAUCUUUACUUUCUUCUUUCUUCUUGUCAGUUCAUUUGAAUACAUUUUUGUAAUGGGCAUAUGUAAUACAAAAUACAAUAAUAAAUACAAAAUUA